CUAGUAAUGGUCAUGCCCCCUUUAUUAUACGUUUCUUAUUCUCCAACAUGCAACCAACUAUUCUGCAUAUUCUCCACCCCCGUGUCAGGUGAUCUUCCUGGUCACUUGCCAUGUUUUUUUUUUUUCUCCCUGCACGUCAUUAGUGCGGGCUCCCACAUGAUGAGAGCAGGGCUUACCUGUCCCUCCCCUCUCCCCACUUGGAGGCAACGCCCCCUUUUCCACACUGACCCAUAGCAACGCAGGCUCCUUUACAGACCCCUCCCACCUUACUCCUCCCCCUCUCCUAUUUAAAAGCCAAGCAGCCCCACAAUGUCAGACAUUGCUGGAUGGCUGCAGCAGCUGUACACACUCUACACUGCUUGUGUUUUCUUCCCAUCUUCCGAUCCCUCUACUGACCUCUCUGGCCACUUUUUGUCAUUACAGGUAUGUCUCUAGCCUCAUAUAUAAAAUCUUGGUUCAGCUUUCUUUUUUGCGAUCCUUUUUUGCGUUCUUUUUCGUUUUUGUUGCCUGCGGCACCGUUGAUAUUAUCCUGUCCUCUUAUUUAUAUUUUGGACAGGUAAAAAAAUAUAUAUAUACAAUCAAUAAACUUUUACGCUGUGACACUUCGGGCCAAAGGUCUUGCUACGCUGUGAUUGAUAUUAGAUGCCAGUCCUCACUCCUCUCCUUACCAUCUGAGGCUUGCCAUGCGUCCCGAUUGCGAUGUCCUUUUAAGGGGUGUGCUGAGCCGUUGAAACUUCUCGGGUGAAAAGUUGUCUGUUACACUUUCUGACUCCACACAUACUUC